UAUAGUGCUGUUGCUCCCAUAACCAGGAU
rnacentral:piRNA from 1 species